GACGAACGCUGGCGGCGUGCUUAACACAUGCAAGUCGAACGGAAAGGCCCUGCUUUUGUGGGGUGCGGGAGUGGAGAACGGGAGAGUAACACGUGAGUAGCGUGACCUCGACUUUGGGAUAACGCCAGGAAACUGGGGCUAAUACCGGAUAGGAGCUAAUGCUGCAGGGGGGGGGUUGGAAAGUUUCGGCGGAGGGGGAGGGACACGCGGCUUAUCAGGUGGUGGGUGGGGGAGUGGCUUACCAAGGCGUUGACGGGUAGGCGGCCGGGGAGGGUGACCGGCCACAUUGGGACUGAGAUGCGGCCCACACUCCUCCGGCAGGCAGCAGUGGUGAAUAUUGCACAAUGGGCGGAAGCCUGAUGCAGCAACGCCGCGUGCUGGAUGACGGCCUUCGACUUGUAGUCCGCUUUCGCCUGUGACGAAGCGUGAGUGACGGUAAUGGGUAAAGAAGCACCGGCUAACUACGUG
rnacentral:rRNA from 1 species